rnacentral:tRNA from 1 species
ACCUGGCUGGCUGGGUUUGAAAAGCAUGAGACUCUCAAUCUCAGGAUUGUGAAUUCAAGCCCCACACUGGGUG